rnacentral:rRNA from 1 species
GUGCCAGCAGCCGCGGUAAUACGGAGGGUGCAAGCAUUAAUCGGAUUUAUUGGGCGUAAAGGGCGCGUAGGCGGGCAUUCAAGUCAGAUGUGAAAUGCCGGAGCUCAACUCCGGAACGGCAUUUGAAACUGAUUGUCUAGAGGGUAGGCGGAGAAAAUAGAAUUCCACAAGUAGCGGUGAAAUGCGUAGAUAUGUGGAAGAAUACCGGUGGCGAAGGCGAUUUUCUAGCUUAUACCUGACGCUGAGGCGCGAAAGUAAGGGGAUCAAACAGGAUUAGAUACCCUGGUAGUCCUUACUGUAAACGAUGUAUACUUGGUGUAAUCGGACUCAACCCUGAUUGUGCCGUAGCUAACGCGAUAAGUAUACCGCCUGGGGAGUACAGUCGCAAGGCUGAA